ACAUUCCUCAAUAUUUUUAAGGGCUUAUUUUGGUUUAUGGAGUGUCCGACAACAAGUUUAUGUACAUACAUGAUGUAAAAAUACUAUUAUUUAGUAAUAAUAAGCAGUUUUUAUUACCUUACUUCUUGACUGACUCUCAAAUGAUUCGUUCCGCGAUUCAUCUGUGUAAUCUCCGCCUUUCCGCCAGCGUAGUCUGAUCUGAUUGGUCAGAUAGUGUAGUCUGUUGUGAUUGGUCAGAUGGUCUAGUCUGCUGUGAUUGGUCAAAUGGUCUAGUCUCCUGUGAUUGGUCAAACGCGUUCAGCAUGUGUCGCAAAUGGACCGCCUAUCAUUACUGCUGUAUUACGGUUUGCAGGUGGUUGGAUAUUAACAGUGUAUAGAGAGAGAUGGCGUCGAUUUUACCUUACCAGUUCGAGCCCGAGUCUGACGAAUCAUCCGAAGAUGCUAAUCAAAAUGAAAAUAUAGUGCGAGCAAGACUGGAGGAGGAUGUUUUUCAGUGGCAAGUGACAAUUCAAGAGACUGUCCCCAAAGUUUCCAGGGGAACAACAUGCAUAAUGUGUUUUUGCUCAUCAAUGACAUAAAAGCGUAUUAUAUUUAGAAAAAAUACUGUUCAAUAGUAGUAAUUAUAUAUUUUUUCUUUACUGUGCGUUGUUAUGGUACAUAGAGAUAAUUCUUUUUUUCAAAAAGUCCACAUUAUAAAACAUGCUUGUAGUUUCACCAAAAUCUAUCUACAUAGGUGCACGUGUGGCAAAUGUGUGAAAAUGCAAAGCGAGGCAGAAAAUCUUUGCUGUCACGAAGUGCAACAGGUUGUAAGACGCAUAGGGCAAACUGAAGUCCCACCAACAUGCAUGAUAGAUCAUCCAGGCUUUGAGGCCAACUGCCUUAACCCAUAUACACUGCAGAACAUCUACAACAUCUACAGAAGCGACUACGGCCCCAUAAGGCACAGAAAUAGCAAUAAGCAAUUCCGCCAUCUGGCGUAUCGGAGCUUUGUGAGCUGGUGCUGGGGCUACUUAGGUCGGCAUGUCCGUGUUGUUAUUCCUUCCUGUGUUGUAGCCCGGAUACGCCAGGAGUUUC